GCACGCGAGGCGGCGCCUGUAGUGGGUACUAAGCUGAUUUUGAGAUCUUUUCAGAGUUGACCUCUGGGCUUCUGUACGGGAUCUGUAAGAUGACAAGAGGAUGCUGGCAAUCGGUCUCAACUAAGAAAUGAGUGUGAAGUAGCUAAAAGCAAAUCAGCAUUUCAGCUGGGGCCCAGAACAGAAACCAUACUAAAGAGGACCAGAAGAACAUGG